AUGUCUAAGAAUUCUAGUAGAGCCAAGUGGAAUCAUCAGAUGAAGGCAUAUCUCAUUGAACAGUUAAGAGAUCAUGAUGUUCCCAAAUACCGCACACAAAAUGCAUGGAGUAAAGAGGCCUGGACAAAUAUUGUUGCUAAAUUCAAUCAAAGAUUUGAUGUAUCAUUCACGGUAGUUCAAGUGAAGCAAAAGGAGCAGGAUCUAAACAGAGAUUUCAAAGCUAUAAAAGACUUAAUAUCUGAAAGUGGUUUUGGCUGGGAUCGUGACAGAAAGAUGGUGGUGGCGCCCGAUAAUGUUUGGGCUGCACUAGAGGCACGUAAAAACAAGGAUGCACUCUUCUGGCGAGGAAAGUCAUUUCCAUAUUAUGAAGAUAUUUUUGCUCUAUAUGAUGGACGCUAUGCUCAGGGAAGGAGUUGCCAUGGCAUGGGUUAUUAUGCGAACAAAGCAACUCAGCUCUCACAGUUACCAACAUCACAUUCACCACAACAACAAGGGCUAUAG
rnacentral:rRNA from 1 species